AGCAUAAUCAGUUGACUUAUAAUUGAAGUCUAGUAUGAAUGGGAACACGGGAAUAUUCUGUCUUUAAUAUAUAAAAGA
rnacentral:rRNA from 1 species